GACGAACGCUGGCGGCGUGCUUAACACAUGCAAGUCGAACGGAAAGGCCCCUUUGGGGGUACUCGAGCGGCGGACGGGUGAGUAAUGCCUAGGAAUCUGCCUGGUAGUGGGGGAUAACGUCCGGAAACGGGCGCUAAUACCGCAUACGUCCUGAGGGAGAAAGUGGGGGAUCUUCGGACCUCACGCUAUCAGAUGAGCCUAGGUCGGAUUAGCUAGUUGGUGGGGUAAAGGCCUACCAAGGCGACGAUCCGUAACUGGUCUGAGAGGAUGAUCAGUCACACUGGAACUGAGACACGGUCCAGACUCCUACGGGAGGCAGCAGUGGGGAAUAUUGGACAAUGGGCGAAAGCCUGAUCCAGCCAUGCCGCGUGUGUGAAGAAGGUCUUCGGAUUGUAAAGCACUUUAAGUUGGGAGGAAGGGCAGUAAGUUAAUACCUUGCUGUUUUGACGUUACCAACAGAAUAAGCACCGGCUAACUUCGUG
rnacentral:rRNA from 1 species